AGAGUUUGAUCAUGGCUCAGGACGAACGCUGGCGGCGUGCUUAACACAUGCAAGUCGAACGGAAAGGCCCUUCGGGGUACUCGAGUGGCGAACGGGUGAGUAACACGUGGGUGAUCUGCCCUGCACUUUGGGAUAAGCCUGGGAAACUGGGUCUAAUACCGAAUAGGACCACGCGCUUCAUGGUGUGUGGUGGAAAGCUUUUGCGGUGUGGGAUGGGCCCGCGGCCUAUCAGCUUGUUGGUGGGGUAAUGGCCUACCAAGGCGACGACGGGUAGCCGGCCUGAGAGGGUGACCGGCCACACUGGGACUGAGAUACGGCCCAGACUCCUACGGGAGGCAGCAGUGGGGAAUAUUGCACAAUGGGCGCAAGCCUGAUGCAGCGACGCCGCGUGAGGGAUGACGGCCUUCGGGUUGUAAACCUCUUUCACCAGGGACGAAGCGCAAGUGACGGUACCUAUAGAAGAAGCACCGGCCAACUACGUGCCAGCAGCCGCGGUAAUACGUAGGGUGCGAGCGUUGUCCGGAAUUACUGGGCGUAAAGAGCUCGUAGGUGGUUUGUCGCGUUGUUCGUGAAAACUCACAGCUUAACUGUGGGCGUGCGGGCGAUACGGGCAGACUAGAGUACUGCAGGGGAGACUGGAAUUCCUGGUGUAGCGGUGGAAUGCGCAGAUAUCAGGAGGAACACCGGUGGCGAAGGCGGGUCUCUGGGCAGUAACUGACGCUGAGGAGCGAAAGCGUGGGGAGCGAACAGGAUUAGAUACCCUGGUAGUCCAA
rnacentral:rRNA from 1 species